UUCGUUGUGCAUUUCCUCUUUAAACAGACGGGGUUAACAUCUAUCGUCAAAAUGAACUUAAUAUGAGCGUAGAGCAAUAUUUUGCUGUAGGAUUAGCCAUUGCUAUUGUAGGAGGAUGGCUUUUCGAUUGGCUUAUGCACACAGUAGCUAUUAUUUAUGGAAUCCGACGUUUACAUCGACAACUACCUACACCUUCCCCGGAAGACCUCCCGGGAGUAUCUAUCAUUAAGCCUCUUGUUGGUGUUGAUCCUCAUCUGUAUGCAAACUUAGAAUCUUUCUUCAAAUUACAAUAUCCCAACUUUGAAAUUUUAUUUUGUGUGCAAGAAGAAAGUGACCCUGCCAUAAUGAUUGUUCAGAAAUUGAUGGAACUUUAUCCUAAAGUAGACGCUAAAUUAUUUAUAGGAAUUAAAUACAUUUGUCCAAACGGAAAAAUUAACAACAUGAUCAAAGCAUACGAAGCAGCGAAGAAUGAAAAUCUAUUGAUCUCAGACAGUUGUAUCAAAAUGAAUGAGAAUACUUUAAUGGAGAUGGUUUGCUGUCUGAAACCUGAUGUUGGAAUGGUUGUCCAGAUGCCAUUCUUUGAAAAUCGUCCAAAACUUGGAUUUGCCAGUGUUUAUGAAAAGGUUUACUUUGCAACUUUCAAUGCCAGAAGUACACUUGGUGGUUUUGCUACAGGAAUAAACGCCUGUACUGGAAUGUCCUGUUUAUUUCGGAGAGAACCUGUUGACAAAGCUGGUGGGUUAGCUCCCUUAGGACAAUAUCUCUCUGAAGAUUAUAUUCUUAAUCACACUAUUACACAAGCUGGUUACAAAUCAGUACUCUGUACCUCAACAGCUCAACAAAAUAGUGGUUAUUCAUCAGUAGGCACUUUCCAUAAAAGAAUAAUCAGGUGGUCUCAAUUAAGGAUUGCUCUCUUGCCACACCUGAUUAUUUUAGAGCCGUUGUCAGAAUGUAUGCUGAUGGGUGCUUGUGCCUCAUGGGCUAUAGAAUACUUGUUUGGAAUAAGUUCCAUGGGCGUGUUUUUAAUGCAUAUUUUAUUAUGGUUUUUGUUAGAUUAUACACUGUUGAGAGUAGUAGAGAAUGGUCCUUUACCUUUUUCCAAAUUUGAAUUUGUGGUAGCCUGGCUGAUGAGAGAGACAUUAGCUUUAUUCCUAACUUUACAAUCUCACAGAAACACUAUUGUCAAAUGGAGACAUAAACAAUACAAACUCAACUGGGGCGGAAAGAUCGAAGAAGUUUAGUCGUAUUUACAAUUGUAAUCCAGUCAUCACAAGUCACAUGGGGCUCGCCAUGUCAUCAAAGUUCAUUCAUAAGCACUAAGGAAACGGAAUAUAUAACAGUGCUAGAAAUCGUCUUUUUUAUAUUUAGUGUAUUCAGUCCUACGCUCAAUUCAGUUAUGCGUUUGAUAUAAUUGGGUACUAUGUGAAAGCAUGAGCAUCAAGAUGACAGUGAUCAAGAAAUAAUAUGAUGAAUUGUCGAGCAAGUAAUUGCUCCUUUACAUGUAAUUAUUAGUGAUGCAUGCUUGAAGUAGUCUAUUAAUAAUGAAUUGCUUUAAAUUCUGUAAGAUUCAUAAAAAUGAAUAUUGCUAUAGUGUGUGUUUGUUAUUGCUCUACCAAAUUGAUAUUCAGUUCUUUCUUCUUUUUUUUUGUCAAAGCAUAAUUUGUAAGAGUUUAGGUGACAUAAAUUUUGAUUUUUCUGAAAAGCAUAUUUUAAGAUAGCUUUUUAAAAAAAAAUAUAAAUAUGAAAAUUUAUCAUGUGAAACAAUACUAACAAAUUUAUAAGAGUAUGCUGCCAAUUUUUAUUGAAGUUUUUUAAAAGUAGAAAAUAUUUGGGUGAACUUGACCACCUCUAUGAUUUAGGAAAAGGCAUAAAUCUUUCUAUAUCUAUAAACUUUAAUUUCAUAUGAUGAACAACUGUAUUAAAUUGGAAAUAUUUUUUUUGUUUACACAUGGGAAAAUCCUAAAAAUGUAACAUUAGUUUGGUACAGCUUAACAAGUUGUUGGUUAUGGUUUAACAGUAUUGUGUGCUAUCUAUACCAGGUGCUCUUUGUUGUCACAGCGUAAACUGUUAUGUGUGCUUCUUUAACUGCCAAAUUAUUAUCAUCAUUUAAUUUUUAUAGUAUAAUAUAUGUCAGAUUUGAUCUGUAAUUUGUAGACCAUUUGUGUCAUUUUUAAAGUACUGUAAAUUUUUAGAUCUUUAUUAGGCUCUAGUCAAACAGAAACCUGAAUUCUGAUAUAAUACAUUCUUUCUUCUUCAUAGCUUUAAGUUUACAAUUUUGAUCAGAUUGUGUUAUGUUUUUAACGAUGCAAAUAAAAUCAGAAAAAAAAUAUUUUACAGGGUAAAUUUUUCAACAUUUUAGCAUCUUUCUGCAAAUAAAAAAGGGUACAACAAUGUUUUUAUCAUAAUGAAGGUCAUUUAUUUAUCUGAAAAGAUUUUUUUUGAAAUUCCUUAUUACAUGUGUAUUUUAAGGGUCGUGCAUGUUAAUAACACCAGGAUCAUUUUACCUUUUUGAUGUUUUCUGGGUUUUUUAAAUUUUUUAUGCAGUUUAAUUUGAGUUAUUGCAAAAUGCAGUAGAAAAUACUACGCAUUAUAGAAAAAAAAAGUUUACAAUUUUUACAAUUCAGUGUCUUGUAUUUUUUAAAAUUUCCAGAAGUAUUCAAUUUUGUUGUUAGAUUGUAGUGUUACAGAAACUCAUGGAAAGCCUUGAGUCAAAUUGCCAUGCAACUUUCCCAGUGUUCAAUUGUUUUCUUGCCAGUCUCAAAGUUUUACAAUAGAAUAUGUUUAAAGAGAUAUAUAUAUGUAUGUUAUAGUCUGUUAAGGAUAUGUUAAGGAAGAUAAUUUUAUUAUUGUAUGGUUUCAAGUCAAGUUUAUUAUAUGUACAAUUUGUAUUGCAAUUUUAUUGCAUGGAUUUUAUGAAAUUUAACUGUAAAUUUGAUUGGAUUUUAUGACUUUCUGAGCUAGGAAUGAUCACUUGCCUGUCUGAUCACAGAUUAAAUAAUGAGGUCACUCCGUGAUAUGACGACAGCUCUCAGAUCUGAUCCACCUGCCUUUUUUCCGAUGUUCAGUAAAUGUUCAAUGACGAAAUAAGACCAGGUUGAAAUUAAACCUCAUGUUAAAACAAUGCAAUUUUGUGGUUAAUUUGUUCAUUUGUCUUGUUGUUUUUAUAUGCAAAAUGUUAUAAAUAUGUUUAUGCGCAGGAUUCAUAAAAAGGCAUGUGAGAGCUAUUUUAUUAACAUGAAUAUGAGAGGGUAGGAAUAUACAAGUUCUGUUUUUGGACAUGGGGUCGUGGGUCGUUUGUUGUGGAGUUUCCAUAUCAGCUUUGAUUAUAUUGAAAAUUAAGAUUAGUUUGCUUGUUUGUCAUGUUUGUUAUGGGGAAUAUGGAAGUCCUGUCGUACCCUCCCACAGUCAUUUUAAAUGAAAUAUCGCUAAGUAUUUUGUUGAUAUAGUGCUUGUGUUUCUGCUGUAUAUAAUUGUGUAUGCGUGAAAAUCAAAACAAAAAAAGAAAUCAGCUAUUACCAUAGAUUUUAAAACAUUUUAUUAUCAUAAUUUUUAUUAUUAUUUGAUUUUAAUGAAUUUUUGAAAUGUAGAAAAAUUCAUAACUGAGUUGAUUAUUUUUAAUAAUUGGCAAUGAAGCAGAAUUUUAUCAUAAUAAGUUAUUAAUCAUUACUUAUAUACAUAUUAAUUUAUGUAAAGGAAAAUAAUACAGAGUUAAUUGUACAAUAAUUAACAUUGAAGUGUCAUUUCGAUUUACAUAAUUUAAAAUCGAAUUUUCAUCAGUUAUUCACACGAAAUACAUACAUAUUCAUCAGUUACUUUCAACUCUUGAAUAUUCAUCAGUUAAUCACUCUAAAUACAUACAUAUUCAUCAGUUACUUUCAACUCAUGAAUAUUCAUCAGUUACUUCACCAAUUGAAUAUUCAUGAAUUUAUCACUCUAUGUACAGACAUAUGCAUCAGCUACUUAACCAAAGGAAUAUUCAUCAAUAAAUCAUCCUUAAUACAUAUACAUUGAUCAAUUAGUUCAAUCAGAUGAAUUUUAAUCAAUUUUUCAUUUAAAUGAAUACUAGUUUUUCACAAUUUGUGUUGUGGAAUUUCAUUAUACUGUUGUUUGUGUGAAUCCUGUCUAAUGUUUUGUUUUAUUGUGUUUUUAGUUGCAGCAUUUUAAUGGUAUCUCCUCUAUAAAUGGAAUAUUUUCCUAUGUUGUUCUUUGUCAAUAAAUGUAAUUUUUAUUCAAAUAAUGUUAUUCAGUCUCCUUAUUAAUAUGCUUACAUGAUUAGAAUUUGCUAGAGUAAUGUGAAUUUGAGAUUUAUAUAAAAGAGUUAUUGCAUGAAUAUUGUCCCCAUUAGAACUUUGUAUUGCUUGAGCUUGCGAGUGCAAUAUAUGUUCUACUCUGGACAAUAUUCCCCAAUAUUCACCUAAUAACCCUUUAAUUGCAUAGCAAUAUAAUAUUUGAAAGUACAAAUUUGUUCAAACUAAGAUUUUGUUGUUGAUGCAUCAUGAAUUUUUUGAAGAUUUUUUGCACUAGUGCAAUAUUAGAAUUUAUUGCCUGCUAACUUUUGGUUACAUUCUGUGGGGAAUGUUAUAUUGCUAUACAGAAAUAUAAAUAAUGAUGUGGUGGUUUGAUUAUAAUUAUUGCAUUUUCAUUUCAAAGUUUUAAUCCUAGGUAAAAGAAGAUUUAUAUUUCACUAAUAUUCAAAGAUCAAAGAAAGAUGUUAUGUUGUAAAGGAAUUUUUAAUACAGAAAUAAUUAAUCAAGGAUUGUAUAAACUAUAAUAAUGGGACUGAAUGCAUAUUUAAAUACUAAAAACUCAUGUUAUUACCUUGGAUACAGAUAGUUACAUUAAGAUUCUCCCAAAGCUCGCAUUUUUUUUUUCAUUCGAAAAAAAUGUUACUAAUAAUACAAACAAUAAUUUCUGAAUUUAUAGUAAUUUGGUUAACAGUAAGGUUAGGAUAGAGAAAUAUAAACAUAAAUUAUAACUUAUAUUCAUAGGACAAUUUGACUUUAAUUUAAAAACAUUUUGAAUGGUUAACUGUUAAACAAUUGGUAUCCAACCAAUGACAUACCAACAAUGAAUUUACACAUUAUAAUUUAGAUUGUAAAACAUUUAUUUGUGACCAUUAAUCUAAAUGAUAAAUAUAUAUUCAAAUUAUUGAUAUUGCUGAAUAAUAAGAGUCUUGCAAUAAAAGGGCCUUUGUUUUAAUCUGUUAAAUUUCCUCCAACACAUACCAGAGUUAAGAGUUUUUCUCACAUAUGAUAAGUUCUAUUUGAAUUUUUGUUAAAAUCCUUUAAACAUUCAUAAGAUAUUCAAACCUUUAAAAACUUGUUUUAUAAUAUUUCAUUAACAAUUUUUUUAUUAUGUCGUUUUUAACAAGAAUAAAAAGGGAUAAGGGGAGGGGGAUUUAUAACAAAUACUUUUUUACUAUUUCACAAUAAUGGUUAGGUUGUAAAAUUGAGGUCAGGCACAAUAUAUAAAAAAAACAUUAACGAAAGGAGAAUUAUUUCACAGAAUUAGAAAAGUCGGUAAAAUUAAUGCCUUUAGGUAAUAAUACACUUUAAGGUGUAAUUAUUUCCCCACUUAACCUUGUCCAUAUAUGGUUGUAGGGGUAUAAGGAUGGACAAAAUAUUUUGCUUGUCCAUGGUACCAAUGCUAUGGAGUGUACAUGAAUGUACAACCUAUUGUGGAUGGGUAAACAAAAGCCCUUAUCCUUAUUAGAUUGUGUGCACAUCUGCUUAACUGGUUGUGAAUUAGGUUCCUCAAUACUAGAUUCUAAAUAAGAUAUUCCAUAAAUAAUUAAUUAUAGGAAAAGGACUUUUAAAUAUAUUUUUGUUGAAAAUGGGGUAUUUUUAUUGGCCUCCAAAUUUAGGUGCUAAAGAGUUAAGCAAUUUAUAUGUUGUGCAUGUUGAUUGAUAAAGUUGGUUACUUCUGUCGAACCCUUGUUUUAUUAUUUAAAUAGUUGUUAAUUGUUUGCCAGAUAUAAUAACAUUGAAUAAUUUGCCAGUUUUAAUUUUAUUAUUAUAGAAGUACUUUAUUCAAGUUAUUUACUGAUCAUGAUAUUGAUUAAUUGGAGAUAGGAUUUUGUAUUAAGUUCAGGAUUAAUUGCAUAUUGUAUUGUAUAAAUUUCAGGAUUAAUAGACAAAUCAUAUAAUAUUUAUUCGAUAAUUGUAAAACAAAAUGAACGGAAUGGAUUUGUUGUAAAAUGUUGUCUAUAUUCAUAUCUUUGUACUAAAAAAUGCCAAUUUUAUAUUGUAAACAGUGAAAAGAUGAUCAGUUUAAGAAAAUGAGGUAAAAAAAAGUGUUCAUCCUUUUUAAUUUUGUGAUAAAAAAAUAAACCAAUACAUAUACAGUGGCAAUGUCAUUUUCAGAGGCAAUGACAAUUUGGUUGACAUGUUUCCAUAUUGAUAUCAAUGACUUUGUAUCUGUAUUAGUCACAGUAUAAAGGACAGUAUCCAAGUAGACAAAUCAAAAUUGAGCCUCGAGUCAAAAGUAAAAGUGACACUGAAUUAAUAUGAUGAAUUUGCUCUCGCCACAGAGAAAAUUAUGAUUAUCUCCCCUAUAUUGAUAUGUUUGAUCAAAAUAUUGUGUGAUUUUAUUGUUUUCAAUAAAGUAUGAACAAGCUUCA